CGGCCCCGGCCCCGGCCCCGCGCCGCGCCGCCUGCAGGCACUGCCGCCCAGGCCCGCCGGAAUCCUCGAGGUGCGAAGGCGCCCGCGGGCGGCCCCGCACGGAGGAGUAGCGCGGGAGCGGCCUCAGAGGCCGCAGGCCCGGAAGGAGGGAAUGCCGCUCCCCAGAGGGGUGCUCCGAGAGAUGGGCUGGGAGCAGGCUCAGGGCUUGGGCUGCGUGACCCAUCUCUCCAAGGAGAAACUUGACGUGGAGCAACUGGCAAGGCUGGGGUCCAGCACCAGUUAAUGGACUAAGGAGUGUGCCCAAUGUGUGGCCUUUCCCACCUGAUCCCCUCACAAGACCAGCAUGAGCUUUGGUUUUGAGUGACCUCAGCAUCCUUUGAUGCCAGCACAAGAGCCUCCCUCAGCCUUUCUGGAAAACAAGAUUAAAUCCUGAGUUUUGCUGUUUCCAAAUCCCCCUGGGCUCAGGUUGUAACUUCUGUGAGUGCAGCUGUGCAGAGCUGGGGUCAGAUAUUACCUGGAACACAACAUUGCUGCCAGCACCCAUCACUGUAGACAGUCUUUGGGAUAAUUCUCUUCUGAUUUGAAGAAAUAAUAAUAGUAGUAGUAAUAGUAGUAGUGAUGAUGAUGAUGAUGAUGAUAAUAAUAUUAAUCUGACAUUUUAUCAUUUACAAGUAGGGAUGAUUGUGGCAGUCUUACCUGGAAAAACUCCACUGGGCUCAGGAUACUUCCAUACCUCACUGCCCAGAUGGAGCCUGCCUCCUUUCAGGGAGCUCAGCCAGCCCUGCACCAGCAUGCAUCCUUACCUGCAUCCUUACCUGCAACGUGCUGUGUGGAUGCUACUGCCCACCACAUGCACAAGCAUCCACUGUGGCCCUGAUUUACAGGUGUUCCCCACCCUGAAAGAGAAACUCAUUACUGUUAUGUACUUCCCUUGAAACCAAUGUUACCUGGAAUCAGGAAAAGCAAAAUGCAAACAAAGGUGGUUGCUCACAGCGUCAGCCAUACCCAGGUGGGUGGUUGUGACUUGUAUCAUGUUCCCUGUGUCACUGGUGCAGUGACUUUGCUCUGGCAGCCCCUGAGUGCAGCUCUGUGAGGAACAGCAAGAAAUGAGCUGCCACCAGGGGCAGGGGACCUCAAACGUCACAUGCCACUCACAAAUGUCACUGACUUUUUCAAGCUCAUAUUUUGCAGCAGAAGGUGCAGCCUCCCCCAAGAGCACUGGGUUGAGAGGCUCUGCAGCUCUGUGCCGUGCCUGCAGACAGUGCCAAAGGCACUGUGUCCUGGCCAGGAGCCCCAGAGACUUCCAAUCCCUGCUUAAGAUGCAGCAGCAGUAUGGAUUGCCCGGGCAAACCUCGGGGCUGCAGCACUUUGGCCAGGCGGGUGCAUGUGCCCAGCUGGCACACGCAGGUCUGGGCAAUCCUCAGGCAUCCACAAGCACAGUGCUGGGUAUGCCACCACAGGGACAUGCCCUGGCAGCUGCAGGGACAGCUUUGGCAGCAGAAAGGACAGAGUCCCUCAAGGCUGAAGAAAUGCCAAGUGUUUCCAAGCUAGUCUCAUUCCCUUACAGAGAGGGAUGCUCCAGAUAUGCGUGCAGGGCAGGCUGGGUUUCUACAAGGGCAGGCAGAAUGAGAGGUGUCCCCUCUGACUGAUCUCCCACCCUGUGACACAAACCCAGGGGACAAAGGUUUCUCUGUGGUAGCAGCUCUCACCUGGGAUCAGGGCAGGUUUUGGAAGCUGGCUGAAGAGACAGGCAGCUAACUGCUGUUAGCCAUAGGCACCUUGUGGUAGAGGGAUGCAGGGUUCUUUCCAACUCAGUAAAUUUGUCUCAGCUGCUGAUGUAGGAACCCCUGGCUUGUUGGGCCUUCCAUAUGUUUGCACAUUUCAGAGCAUCCUUCUCUUGUCCAGUUCUGGGGAGGCUGGUGUGUCUCCACUGGUCUCCUUACAAGCCAGUUGCAUUGUUGGAGCUGUGGAGCUUUUACAUAAAGAGUAGUCUUGCCAGGCUGUGACGUUUGUCCUAGCAUAAGCAUCCCUCAUCUCCUUUCUACUGGGCAUCUAAUCCCAUGCCAAUGAAUGGCCACACAGCACCAGGUCCAGGCUGGAGGGGAAUCUUGGCUCUCAUUGCCACCAAGGUGCUCUGUCUGACGUCCAUCCUGGUUUUCCAAAUGAAGGUCAGAAGGAACUAAGGACCAGGAGCUCCAGUUCUCCCAUCCAUCUUUGAUGAUUCAUUUGUAAGCGAGGCAGAAGGGUACAUUUGUCCAGAAGCUGUCCUGCAGACUUUACAGUGGACACACACAAUAGUUUCUGAAUGGACCAUAAAUAAGACAUGUUAAGAUGUACACCAGCACACAGUGCUGGUUUUACUGUGUACUUCUUCUCUAGAUGCAGAGUUCAGUAGAGAUUGCUUAUGCUGAUAAAAACAUGGGCAAAAUGA